GAUGAACGCUGGCGGCGUGCCUAAUACAUGCAAGUCGAGCGAACAGACGAGGAGCUUGCUCCUCUGACGUUAGCGGCGGACGGGUGAGUAACACGUGGAUAACCUACCUAUAUGACUGGGAUAACUACGGGAAACCGGAGCUAAUACCGGAUAAUAUAUUGAACCGCAUGGUUCAAUAGUGAAAGACGGCUUUGCUGUCACUUAUAGCUGGAUCCGCGCCGCAUUAGCUAGUUGGUAAGGUAACGGCGUACCAAGGCGACGAUGCGUAGCCGACCCGAGAGGGUGGUCGGCCAAACUGGAACGGAGACACGGUCCAGACUCCUACGGGAGGCAGCAGUAGGGAAUCUUGCGCAAUGGGCGAAAGCCUGACGGAGCAACGCCGCGUGAGUGAUGAAGGUCUUCGGAUCGUAAAACUCUGUUAUUAGGGAAGAAAAAAUGUGUGAGUAACUAUGCACGUCUUGACGGUACCUAAUCAAAAAGCCACGGCUAACUACGUG
rnacentral:rRNA from 1 species